AUUGAACGCUGGCGGCAUGCCUUACACAUGCAAGUCGAACGGUAACGGGCCUUCGGGUGCCGACGAGUGGCGAACGGGUGAGUAAUGUAUCGGAACGUACCUUUCAGUGGGGGAUAACGUAGCGAAAGUUACGCUAAUACCGCAUAUUCUGUGAGCAGGAAAGCAGGGGGUCGCAAGACCUUGCGCUGAUUGAGCGGCCGGUAUCAGAUUAGCUAGUUGGUGAGGUAAAAGCUCACCAAGGCGACGAUCUGCAGCGGGUCUGAGAGGAUGAUCCUACACACGGGAGAUGAGACAGGGUCCAGACUCCUGCGGGAGGGAGCAGUGAGGAAUUUUGGCCAAAGGGGGCAACCCUGAUCCAGCGUUGCCGCGUGAGUAAAGAAGGCCUUCGGGUUGUAAAGCUCUUUCGGCCGGGAAGAAAUCGCACGGGCUAAUACCCUGUGUGGAUGACGGUACCGGAAUAAGAAGCACCGGCUAACUACGUGCCAGCAGCCGCCGGAAAAC
rnacentral:rRNA from 1 species